CUUUACUGUAGCCUGGAAUUGGGUUCGGGCUUUGCAUGCGCAGGAUAGGUGGGAGGCGAUGAGACAAUCCUUGUGGGGGUUGUGGAGCCAACGGUGAGAUACCACUCUUGUGAGGCUAGAAUUCUAACCCCAUGCCGUUAUCCGGCUGGGGAACCGUUUCAGGUGGGCAGUUUGACUGGGGCGGUCGCCUCCUAAAUGGUAACGGAGGCGCGCAAAGGUUCUCUCAGGCUGGUUGGAAAUCAGCCGUAGAGUGUAAAGGCAUAAGAGAGCUUGACUGUGAGACCUACAAGUCGAACAGGGACGAAAGUCGGCCUUAGUGAUCCGACGGCACUGCGUGGAAGGGCCGUCGCUAAACGGAUAAAAGUUA
rnacentral:rRNA from 1 species